AUAUCCACUUUAUAAAUUUAAAUGACAUAGAUAAAAUAACAUAUAUACUCAACCCAAUUUCACACAUUCAGGUAAAUAAGCUAGGAUCCUUUUUAAAACAGUCUAUUGGACUGAGGACAGGGGACUCUUAAAAUAUUUACUUUUAUUGUGUAUAUUAAUGAUCUUGUUGUUAUUUUUUAUUUUCAUUUUGUUAUGUUGUGUCACAUACUAUAAAUAUGUAGUUUUAUGGCA
rnacentral:lncRNA from 1 species